UACGAAGGGGGCUAGCGUUGCUCGGAAUCACUGGGCUUAAAGCGUGUGUAGGCGGAUCGUUAAGUACCUUGUGAAAUCCCACGGCUUAACCGUGGAACUGCUUGGUAUACUGGCGAUCUUGAGCCACCUAGGGGCAACCGGAACAAAUGGUGGAGCGGUGAAAUGCGUAGAUAUCAUUUGGAACGCCAAUGGUGAAAACAGGUUGCUGGGGGUGUGCUGACGCUGAGACACGAAAGCCAGGGGAGCGAACGGG
rnacentral:rRNA from 1 species